rnacentral:tRNA from 1 species
GAGGGUAUAGCUCAGUGGUAGAGAGCAUGCUUAGCAUGCACGAAGUCCUGGGUUUAAUCCCCGGUACCUCCU